CCGGCCGAGCACUCCUCAGCACGCGUGUACCAGGUGGGCGAUGAAGUCCGAGCUUGACUUCCUAUUGGUCGCCCGCCUGAUUGGCAUCCCGAGGACCAACCAAACGCCUCCGUUCUCUCCUUGUAGCCAGUGAGAGGGAGGGGGCGGGCUCCGGCGCCAAGCGUGGGGCUCAGUUAAAUGUGCAGAGGCGGAAGGUCUGAGAGAAUAGUUCUAUUUUAGAAUGCCGAAAAUGAAUGUGGAAAAAAAAGAAAAGAAGGCAGAAAAAAGAAAAAAGCUAAAGCAACGUGUCGCCCAAAAGGGAGAGCUGGAAUCGGAUACUGAACCAAAGAAAAAGAAACAAAAUCUGCAGCACUGCUAGCUGUAAGAUAGUCCAAGUUUGGGUUCUAAAGAAGGAACAAUUAUCCUUUUUUGAAAAAGUAAAAAACCAAACCAAAAGCAAAGUGGAUUGACAGUUCUUCAGAACAGGAAGUAUUACUGAGACCCACUUUCAUGGGUCAUAGUUGUUACUGGUAUUUCAAGGUGAUUGUUGGCAGUGUUUUCCCUUCGGCAGUUCUGUAUGACUUUAAGUAUUUCAUCCUUGCAUGGCUUAUGAAAACAAAGUAUAAAUACCAAACUAACACAGCUCUCGCAGAACAACACUAUUUCUGCAAUAUUCAUCACAAGCUCAUUCUUUGGAGUUCCAAUGCUCUUCUGUAAUUUGAGUGUUGUCCUGAAGAGAAUCAUAAUGUUAUAAAAUAGGUGGCAUAUAAAUAUUGUUAUGCUUAUAAUAUACGCAGCAGGGUAAGUACGAAUGUGCUGUUGUAAGGCUGGAGCUUCAGCAGGUGCUUUUUUAGCGAAAAGAACAGUAAAACAGAGUAUCUGAAGAAAUGAUGGGAUUCCAAAUCCAAAGGUGAAUUUAAUGAUCUCAUACUCAGGCCAUGCAAA